rnacentral:tmRNA from 1 species
GGGGAUGAUCGGCUUCGACAGUUGAUUGACCCUUGUCAUGUGCAAAGCAAGCACGUUCGCUCAUCUUGCAAAACUGCGCGAACAAUCAAUAGAUGCAAAUUCUAUUACCAAGCGAGUCGCAUCACCAUUUAUGGCGAUAAACGGCUUCGCUUUUGCUCGAGCGUAAUUAAUCGCGCGAGCCAUCCAACACGCGGACUCCUGAUAGGCGUUUAGGGUGUCAUAUACAUCAGGGUAGAGAUCGCACCCGCUUCGCCGCGAUUUCAAAAACAAAGAAGCUCGGCCUGUAUGGAUUUCGUUUGCUUCCGACCACACGCGCUCAAAUUCGCCCGCGCCGCAAGGCAGAGGCGAAACAAAGCAAUCUACCUUUGUAGACGCAUUCAAGGAAAUCAUUUGGAUCCGGGUUCGAUUCCCGGCAUCUCCACUC